AUCUACAUUGAUCUAUCCGAAAUGUAGAACUCAUGAACACAACAAAUGCAAACUGCUAUGCAAGAAUUGUGCCAACAGUUUUAUUUGUUCUUCUUGUACUGCAUCUGAACAGCAUAUAGGCCAUACAUUUGUAGAAGUUUCGCAUGCUUACAAGACACAAAAAGAAAUUGUUAUGAAGGAUACAGAAGAAUUAGAAAACAGUAUUUCUCCUAUGUAUGAAAAAAUUGCGAGUGACUUGGAAAAUCAGCUUGACAACCUGGAUGGAGGAUAUGAGAAAAUUACAAAAACAAUAUCCAAACAAGGAAAGCAAUGGCACAGAGAAAUCGACAUUGUUAUCAACAGAAUGAAAACUGAAAUCAGCGAGAUAAAAGUAAAGCACAGAGAUAUUUUACAGAAACACUUGGAUGAAAUCAAACUGAUACAGACUCUCACAAAAGAGACAUUUCUGACCUUAAGGGAACUCGAGAAAUCCACUGAAGUAUCUCCAGUUAUUGAAUACAGCUCUAAGAUCAUAGAGUACAGACAGCUUCCACCCAAGGUUCAGGUUAAACUGCCAACAUUCAUUCCAAAACCGAUAGACCGUAACAAGUUGUAUACUUUGGUUGGGGAGAUCACCUCAUUAUCUACUGCCACUGAAGAAGUUUCGCCAUUAAAUCAACCAAACACUUCAGUCAGAGAACUACUGGAUGAACCGGAAGUUGUUGCCACAGUACAGACUGCGCACACAAGACUACGCAAUGUUACAUUUUUAGGUAAGGACACGAUAUGGACAAGUGGAGAAAGCAAUGAUAUCAAAUGCUUCAACAUCAAUGGUUCACUCCUCCAAAAUAUAAAGACAAACUCAGGAGAAUGGCCUAUAGAUCUAGCUGUAGACAGCAAUGGGAAUCUAAUGUAUUUAGACGUGUCAACAAACACAGUGAACAAGGUGAAUAAUGGACAGACAGAAGAGUUGAUCAGAUUACAGGGAUGGAGACCCAAACAGUUGUGUGUCACCUCUAAUGAUGAUCUCCUUGUCACCUUGUACAGUGAAGAUAGAACUCAAUCCAAAGUUGUCCGUUACUCGGGAUCUACAGAGAAACAAACAAUUCAAUUUGAUGAUAAAGGUAAAUCUCUGUACUCGGGGAAUAGUAAUACUAAACACAUUGCAGAGAACAGAAACCAUGACAUCUGUGUAGCUGACUGGGCGGUUGGUGCAGUAGUGGUGGUUAAUCAGGACGGGGAACUCAGAUGGAGGUACAAUGGUCAUCCCUCAGUUGCCAAGAACAAACCAUUUAAACCCUGGGGUAUCACAACAGACAGUCAGAGUCGUAUCCUGACAGCAGAAUAUUACAGCCAUUGCAUCCACAUUCUGGAUCAGAAUGGACAGUUUCUCCGUUACAUUGAUAACUGUGAUCUGGAGUAUCCUACUGGUUUAUGUGUGGACAAUAAUGACAAUCUGUUUGUGUGUGAGUUAUACAAAGGCACCGUAAAGGAAAUCAAAUACUAAAUAGAUGGACACCAAUGUUUGUGAUUAUGAGGAGUGAUAUUGAGCUUUUAAGCAGAUAUAACUAUGGGGUGUUUCUUUUAUUAGUUUACUCAUUUUAUCUUUUAUCAGACUAUCAAAGUAUUCACGUUUAUAUCACAGUUUAUUUCUUUUUCAUCUUAAAGUAAUGUAAUGAUUAUUUUAAAAUAUUUACUUAAAAUUUCACAAUUAC
rnacentral:sRNA from 1 species